rnacentral:rRNA from 1 species
AGAGUUUGAUCCUGGCUCAGGACGAACGCUGGCGGCGUGCCUAAUACAUGCAAGUAGAACGCUGAAGAGAGGAGCUUGCUCUUCUUGGAUGAGUUGCGAACGGGUGAGUAACGCGUAGGUAACCUGCCUUGUAGCGGGGGAUAACUAUUGGAAACGAUAGCUAAUACCGCAUAACAAUGGAUGACACAUGUCAUUUAUUUGAAAGGGGCAAUUGUUCCACUACAAGAUGGACCUGCGUUGUAUUAGCUAGUAGGUGAGGUAAUGGCUCACCUAGGCGACGAUACAUAGCCGACCCGAGAGGGUGAUCGGCCACACUGGGACUGAGACACGGCCCAGACUCCUACGGGAGGCAGCAGUAGGGAAUCUUCGGCAAUGGGGGCAACCCUGACCGAGCAACGCCGCGUGAGUGAAGAAGGUUUUCGGAUCGUAAAGCUCUGUUGUAAGUCAAGAACGGGUGUGAGAGUGGAAAGUUCACACUGUGACGGUAGCUUACCAGAAAGGGACGGCUAACUACGUGCCAGCAGCCGCGGUAAUACGUAGGUCCCGAGCGUUGUCCGGAUUUAUUGGGCGUAAAGCGAGCGCAGGCGGUUUGAUAAGUCUGAAGUUAAAGGCUGUGGCUCAACCAUAGUUCGCUUUGGAAACUGUCAAACUUGAGUGCAGAAGGGGAGAGUGGAAUUCCAUGUGUAGCGGUGAAAUGCGUAGAUAUAUGGAGGAACACCGGUGGCGAAAGCGGCUCUCUGGUCUGUAACUGACGCUGAGGCUCGAAAGCGUGGGGAGCGAACAGGAUUAGAUACCCUGGUAGUCCACGCCGUAAACGAUGAGUGCUAGGUGUUGGAUCCUUUCCGGGAUUCAGUGCCGCAGCUAACGCAUUAAGCACUCCGCCUGGGGAGUACGACCGCAAGGUUGAAACUCAAAGGAAUUGACGGGGGCCCGCACAAGCGGUGGAGCAUGUGGUUUAAUUCGAAGCAACGCGAAGAACCUUACCAGGUCUUGACAUCCCGAUGCUAUUUCUAGAGAUAGAAAGUUACUUCGGUACAUCGGUGACAGGUGGUGCAUGGUUGUCGUCAGCUCGUGUCGUGAGAUGUUGGGUUAAGUCCCGCAACGAGCGCAACCCCUAUUGUUAGUUGCCAUCAUUCAGUUGGGCACUCUAGCGAGACUGCCGGUAAUAAACCGGAGGAAGGUGGGGAUGACGUCAAAUCAUCAUGCCCCUUAUGACCUGGGCUACACACGUGCUACAAUGGUUGGUACAACGAGUUGCGAGUCGGUGACGGCGAGCUAAUCUCUUAAAGCCAAUCUCAGUUCGGAUUGUAGGCUGCAACUCGCCUACAUGAAGUCGGAAUCGCUAGUAAUCGCGGAUCAGCACGCCGCGGUGAAUACGUUCCCGGGCCUUGUACACACCGCCCGUCACACCACGAGAGUUUGUAACACCCGAAGUCGGUGAGGUAACCUUUUGGAGCCAGCCGCCUAAGGUGGGACAGAUGAUUGGGGUGAAGUCGUAACAAGGUA